UCCGCUAGUAGUGGCGAGCGAACGCGGAAGAGGCCAAACCGGAGGUAGCAAUAUUUCCGGGGUUAGGACUGCAAUAUGUAACUUUAAUCUUUAACUGAAUGCUUUGGGAAGAGCAGCAAUAUAGGGUGAUAGCCCCGUAAGUGAAAAGGAUUGAGUGCUAGCAGUAUCCAGAGUACCAGCGGACACGUGAAACCCGCUGGGAAGAUGGGGGGACCAUCCUCCAAGCCUAAAUACUACUCAGUGACCGAUAGUGGAGCAGUACCGUGAGGGAAAGGUGAAAAGUACCCCGGGAGGGGAGUGAAAAAGAACCUGAAACCUUGUGCCUACAAGCACCGAGAGUCCGUUAAUGGAUGAUCGGGUACUUUUUGUAGAACGGUCCGGCGAGUUAAUAUUUGCAGCGAGGUUAAGGAACUGGAGUUCCGGAGCCGCAGCGAGAGCGAGUCUGAAAAGGGCGUAUGAAGUUGCAGGUAUUAGACCCGAAACCGGGUGACCUAUCCAUGAGCAGGCUGAAGCGGUGGUAAGACACCGUGGAGGGCCGCACCCACGUCUGUUGAAAAAGCCGGGGAUGACUUGUGGAUAGCGGAGAAAUUCCAAUCGAACUCGGAGAUAGCUGGUUCUCCCCGAAAUAGCUUUAGGGCUAGCGUUAUUUUAGAUUACCGGAGGUAAAGCACUGAAUGGUCUAGGGGCCGCGAGGUUACCAAAGCCUAUCAAACUCUGAAUGCCGGAUAAUUGAUGAAUAGCAGUCAGACUGUGUGAGAUAAGUCUCAUAGUCAAAAGGGAAACAGCCCAGAUCUACAGCUAAGGUCCCAAAUGAACACUAAGUGGAAAAUGAUGUGAAACUGCGAAGACAACCAGGAUGUUGGCUUAGAAGCAGCCACUCAUUCAAAGAGUGCGUAAUAGCUCACUGGUCGAGUGGUUUUGCGCAGAAAAUGUAACGGGGCUAAGUGUUCAACCGAAGCUUAGGCAUUGCAGUAAUGCAUUGGGUAGGGGAGCGUCGUAUGCGGGGCGAAGUCAGAGCGGAAGCACUGGUGGACUGCAUACGAGUGAGAAUGCCGGAAUAAGUAGCGAGAAUUAUGUGAGAAUCAUAAUGGCCGAAAAUCUAAGGUUUCUUGGGGAAGGUUCGUCCGCCCAAGGUUAGUCGGGAGCUAAGCUCAGGCCGAAAGGCGUAGGCGAUGCACAUACGGUAGAAAUUCCGUAACCACCGAACAUUUAAGCUAGAGGGACGCUUUCAUUAAGUCUAUCCCGGGCGAUGGUUGCCCCGGGCGUAAGGGACCGAAAUUUAGUAGGGAAGUAGACGGCGUGAGAGACGAGAAAAGCUCUAGUGUAUACUAAGGUGCCCGUACCGCAAACCGACACAGGUAGAUGGGAUGAGUAUUCUAAGGCCAACGGGAGAAGGGUUGUUAAGGAACUCGGCAAAUUGGCCCCGUAACUUCGGGAUAAGGGGCGCUGCAGAGAUGCAGCCGCAGUGAAAAGGCCCAAGCGACUGUUUAGCAAAAACACAGCUCUCUGCUAAAUCGAAAGAUGACGUAUAGGGGGUGACGCCUGCCCGGUGCUGGAAGGUUAAGGGGAGUGCUUAGCGCAAGCGAAGGUGCGAACUUAAGCCCCAGUAAACGGCGGCCGUAACUAUAACGGUCCUAAGGUAGCGAAAUUCCUUGUCAGGUAAGUUCUGACCCGCACGAAUGGCGUAACGAUUUGGGCACUGUCUCAACAGCCCGCCCGGCGAAAUUGUAGUACCGGUGAAGAUGCCGGUUUCCCGCAACUAGACGGAAAGACCCCAUGGAGCUUCACUGUAGCUUGAUAUUGGAUCUCGGUAUUCCAUGUACAGGAUAGGUGGGAGACUUGGAAGUAAGCGCGCCAGCGUUUAUGGAGCCAACCUUGGGAUACCACUCUUGGGAUAUUGGGAUUCUAACCUGCGACCAUGAAUCUGGUCGGGGGACACUGUCAGGUGGGCAGUUUGACUGGGGCGGUCGCCUCCAAAAGAGUAACGGAGGCGCUCAAAGGUUCGUUCAGCACGGAUGGAAAUCGUGCACUGAGUGUAAACGCAUAAACGAGCCUAACUGCGAGAAUGACGGUUCGAGCAGUAACGAAAGUUGGAGUUAGUGAU
rnacentral:rRNA from 1 species